GGGAAACAGGUUAAUAUUCCUGUACUUGUAAUAACUGCGAUGUGGGGACGGAGAAGGUUAGGUUAUCAGGGUGUUGGAUUACCCUGUUUAAGCCGUUAGGUGGGAAUUUUAGGCAAAUCCGGAAUUCCAUUAACACCGAGAAGUGAUGACGAGACUCUAAGGAGUUGAAGUAACUGAUACCACGCUUCCAGGAAAAGCCACUAAGCAUAGGUUAUUAUAAAUCGUACUGUAAACCGACACAGGUGAUCAGGUAGAGAAUACUCAGGCGCUUGAGAGAACUCGGGUGAAGGAACUAGGCAAAAUAGCACCGUAACUUCGGGAGAAGGUGCGCCGGCGUAGAUUGUAGCUCUUUACGAGUGAAGGUUGAACCGGUCGAAGAUACCAGCUGGCUGCAACUGUUUAUUAAAAACACAGCACUCUGCAAACACGAAAGUGGACGUAUAGGGUGUGAUGCCUGCCCGGUGCUGGAAGGUUAAUUGAUGAUGUAAUCGAAAGAGAAGCUUCUGAUCGAAGCCCCAGUAAACGGCGGCCGUAACUAUAACGGUCCUAAGGUAGCGAAAUUCCUUGUCGGGUAAGUUCCGACCUGCACGAAUGGCAUAAUGAUGGCCAGGCUGUCUCCACCCGAGACUCAGUGAA
rnacentral:rRNA from 1 species